rnacentral:rRNA from 1 species
UACGUAGGGUGCAAGCGUUGUCCGGAAUUACUGGGCGUAAAGCGAACGUAGGCGGUGUUCCAUGUCAGAGGUGAAAGCCUGGGGCUCAACUCCAGAAUUGCCUUUGAAACGGGAACGCUUGAGUCCGAGAGAGGAUGGCGGAAUUCCUAGUGUAGAGGUGAAAUUCGUAGAUAUUAGGAAGAACACCAGUGGCGAAGGCGGCCAUCUGGCUCGGUACUGACGCUCAGGUACGAAAGCGUGGGGAGCAAACAGG